rnacentral:lncRNA from 1 species
GUGAGGUAUUGCCCGAGGGGCUGCUCGUUAUAUUUCGGGUAUAGUAGACUUUUUGACCAGUAGGGGUCACUGCAAAUACAACAUUUCCAGAGCUAACUGGGACUGUUUUGAAUUACACUAUGUAGAAGGGAUGACCAAAAUACAAGAUCAAAUACAUUUUGACUAAUAAUGUUCAUUGCAUUGUUAACAAUUACACUUCACUCAUUAAGUAUUGUUGCCAUAGAAACAUUCCAUUUAACAACAAGAAAAAACAUAGUGUGCCAUGGUGGACUCCACAACUCAAUUCACAGACACCUAGUUAAUAAUUUGCGCAGAAAGUUCCAAUUAAGUUGUAACCAACACACUUGCGGCACAUUACACAGGGAAUACAUGUUGGCCAAAAGGCUUUACCAAAAAGAAAUAUGUAAUAGUAAGUUAAGGUCAUGGAAGGAAUUUUGUGAUGUGGAGAG